CGGCAGUUAUUAUUUUGCAUUUAUUUCUGUGACUGCCGGAUGAGUGUCUUUCUGCAUCCGCGCUGUCUCCCACCAGGAUGACAAGCAUGGCCUCUGUCGAUGCUCUCCGUGCGCCCGCGCGCCCGCGCUCUCUACCACUCAGCAGGCUCCUUGCCAGGGAAGCUCUCGAUAAAUAAAAGUUGAGGUACAGAUAGGUUUUAGUGAGUUCUAAGCGCUGCGCAGCCUUUGGGAUCCUCUUUCCUGUCUUUCGCGCCCCUUCGGGUCUUUCAGUAAAGACAGAAACAUCCAUUCUCCCCGAAAGUGCCACAGUCCUGAAGGGCCUGGAACUCACAGAGAGCUGCCUGGGUCUGCCGCUCACUGUUGGGAUCAAAGGUGUGCGCCACCACACCGCACAAGGUACUGGUUUUAUUGUUGUUGUCGUUUUUUGUUUGUUUGUUUUUUUAUUUGUUUUGUUUUUUUCAGACAAUGGCUUGAGAUACAGUUCGGUCUGUUCUCAAAUUGGCACUCUUCCUGCCGAAUGCGGGGAUUACAGGCAUGUACCACCAUGUCUGGCUAGUCCAAUUUUCUUAGUGCAUGAAUCUUACCUCUCUCGUCAGCAUUUGGCUUGGAAAUGGUCAUGGGACUCAACGUUGGGGGAAAUAUUUUGGAGGGUUCUCUCCUUCUUCAACAGUAUCGCUCCAUGACCAGAAAUGCUGUGGGCAUCCUGCCACCCCACUUGUAGAUAAAGCCCACUGGAGGAUGGCAGAGGAGGAGAGAAAACGCUCCUUGAGUUGCUGAAGUCAACACUCCAAGCCUGCCCUUCCCCUGAAUCUCUGCUAUGAGAGAAUCAAUCCCUCUGCUGUUGAUUCUGAUUUGAGUUCCCCAGUUUGCCUACUUGCUGGCAACAACAUCCCAGCUGAUACGUUCCUUCCUUAACGCGCACUAUCUGCUCCGUCCUUGGGCUCACGACACAGUGCCUUUUGUCGCUACUGUCCUGUCAUGUGAUGUUAUUUUCAUUUUUGUGUGUUGAUAUCUUGCCUAUAAAGUCUAUGUCAGCUCUCCCAACUCCCAUCGACUCUCUCUAAGUCUCCCCAGGGCUUCCAAACAGCAGUUAAAUCAGGAAUGUUGAUAGAGUCCGAUUAUGUGUGCAGACUGAAGCGAGAGCAGUGAGUGAGGCGGGCGUGGCUCCCAGGGCCCUCACAACAGCCUCCUGCGUGAGUGAGGACCUCAGCUACGAACCAGAUAAGCUCUGGAAUAAAUCUGGAUGAUGACUGGCAAGAGUUAGGAAUGGAGGUGUCCAGCUCUGUACCAGGGCACAGGAGAGAGACCUGCCCUAGUCUACGGGUCAGGUGAAGUGACCCAGAGAUGGGAUCUGAAGGAUACCUGGGAACAAACUGGGUGGAAAGCAUAGACCAUGAACACCAGGUGACGGGGACAGUGGAUCUUCUCCUCCCCCUCCCAACUGACCCUUGUAGAUGAAAUUUUCUUUUGGAGCCACCAGCUCACAAAAUAAUGACAGACUUCUGGUUAAUUAUGAAUGCUUGGCCGAUAGCUUAGGCUUGUUUUUAACUAGAUCUUAUAACUUAAUAUUAGCCCAUAUUUUUAAUCUAUAUCCUUUUAUGUGACUUGGUUACCUUUUUUCCAUACUCUCCAUCCUGCUUCCUCUCUGUCUGUCUGGAGACUCCAUCUUCUUCUUCCCAGGAUUCUCUCUGCCUGGAAAGUCCUGCCUAGCUAUUGGCUGUUCACCUUUUUUAUUAAACCAGUUACAGUGACUUACCUUCACACAGUGUAAAAGAAUAUUCCAUAACUGCUCCUGCUUAACUCGGGCCUCCCACUUCUGGUGUGGACAAUUACUGUUGCUUCCUAACUGGUCCUCCUGCCAUGCUCUCCUCCACCCCUCCUCCUCCAAGCCCGGAGAGUUACCUAGUAGAUCAUUUUGGUGGCCUUGAACAAGGGACGCCAUUUCCUUCAGGGGGAUCUGUGUGAGGCAAUCCCCAGUCGCCUCUCCAGCCUUACGUCCUGCCUCUGAGAACUUCCUGCUAUGCAUGUCAACCACACUAGACAAUCCGAUUUUUCCAUACCGUUCUCUUGCCCGAGUCACCUUCCAGGCUCUUUUGGUAUGACUCUUCUGACUCAAUCCAGGUGGCAUUGCUUGGACUGGGCUCAGUGACUUCCCUCCCUGUUGCUACCACACCCUUCCUGUGACUGUCCAGCUAGAAAUGGGUGUUUCCAGUGUGGGGACUGUGGGUUACUUAAUUAUUUUCAUUUAAAAAAAAAAAAUCCUUGUACCUCUUGAAAUAGCAUGCCUCGGGAAUCAUUUGUCACACUGUUCUUCGGCACUUACUGUCAGGCUGCGUAAUCUGUACUGCUCAUACUAUAUUCCAUGUUACUGGAUUCUACUAUUGAUGUCUGUGCAUGUGUGUGUGUGUGUGUGUGUGUGUGUGUGUGUGUGUGUGUGUGUGUGUGGUGUGCUGCCAUCUACUAGGACAAGGAGAAUCUGGGUAGGGCAAGGCUUUCCCAGCAACUUCUCUCCACUUGACCCCUAACUUUGCACCCUUAGGCGGGCGUCUUGCUUUCCUAGGGAAGAACAGCAGUUCCCUUUCCCUGGGCCCAUCUGGAUCUCCACUGCUGGAGGCCAGCAAGUCUCACAGCUCUCAGCAGUCAUCACAGCACUGGGCACAGCUGGUCCCUGAAUAGGCCCUCGGUAAGUGGUGAAUUAAUGAAGGGAUAAACACAUAAAUGGAUGGAUGGAGUUAAAUUAACAGCUAAACAGAUUGUGUCUACUCUUUCUGCUGUGAAACCACAAAGGAACCUUCUCUUGCUGCCUCAGUCCUUGCAAGCAGGCCUAGGGGAACAAUGCAUCCUGGGAAAGGACCUCUCAGCAGUGAGCCUUUAUUGCUCAAGCUGAUUCCAUCCUCCAGGCCAAAGUGGGGAGUACGAGGGAAUUAAGGGGGUUCCUGGAAUGUGUGGCCUGAGCUUUCUGGAGGGACCACUCCCAUGCUAGACCUGCAAGGCUUGCCUUCUAAGAAGCUCUUAUAGAUCAUAGCCCAGGAGCCUUUGUCUCCUACGGUGGCAGCUUCCUCAGGCCCAGAUGCUGUGGGAUGUCCUGUGUGCUGUGAUAUAUGUUGCUAUGAUUGAUUGAUAAAUAAAACACUGAUUGGCCAGUAGCCAGGCAGGAAGGAUAGUGUAGGCAAGACCAGGAGAGAGGAGAAGACUGGGUGGAAGAAGGCUGAGGCAGAGAGCCGCUGCCAGCCGCUGCCAUGGGGAUCAGGAUGUAAAGUACCGGAAAGCCACGAGCCACGUGGCAAGGUAUAGAUUUAUAGAAAUGGGUUAAUUUAAGAUAUAAGAACUAGAUAGCAAGGAGCCUGAGCAAUUAGGCUAAACAGUUUAAAUAAUAUAAGCGUCUGUGUGUUUAUUUGAGUCUGAGUGGCCCAGCUACACCCAGAAGUCUAGAUGGUCUGGAAGGCUCUCCGCUGCAGGUCCAGACACUCUGGAAGCCUUGAGAGAGGCAGAUGUCCAGAGCGAGAAUGCAGACUGCUUGCUCACUUCUGGGGUCUUAAUGGAGGAAACACUGAGCAGGCCUGCAUCUGAGGCGGUCCAGACAACGGGCAGCAGGUGGAAGUGAGGCCCGGCCUGCUGCUGGAUGUGGAGGAGAAGAGCCCCUUGCAGCUGCCAAUGAGCCUGGCUGCACCCAGCCUUACUCCGACUUGACCCCUCAGUCAACCCCAAGUGUGAUUUAGGCUGCCGCUUAUUGGCUCUGAAGCUCCAAGUGUCGCAAAGGGGGAGGAACUAUCUGUAUAACUUGGAGGCCUAGGCAAAGUAAAACAGUGAGAUCUCCUUUUCAAAAUGACUAGGAAUCCCAGUGUGUCAACAUUAACACCGUCAAACCAAGCAUAAGACCCAUCGAAGCUCGGGACCCCGUAUGAUUGCGGGGUAAGAAGAAAGCCUGAAGAACUACAGCUGGGAAAAGGUGGAAGGACCGUGUUUUCCUCAAACGCAUCCAUGUUCCUUACUUUUUCUCUGUAGGGGACAAAAAGCUAUUCAUCCACCACAAAGGUCGUAGUUGAUACUUCUGUAACAAAAGACAGAUUAAUAAGAGAAAAAUAGGACAACUGAUUUAACUGAAGCUGUGUGUGGCACGGAAACCUUCGAAAACCAAGGCCCUGGAACUGGGGAGGUAGUUCAAUGGGUAAGUCCUCAGAAGUCUUUGAAAACGAAGGCCCUGGGACUGGGGAGGUAGUUCAAUGGGUAAGUCCUCAGAACUCACAGAGUAUAAAAGCGGGAUUUGGUGGCACACAUCUGUAACCCCAGAACUCCCAAGGUGAGAGGGGGGAAGAGACAGGGGGAUCAGCCAGCACAAUAGUAAGAGAACCCUGCCUCAACACAGUGGAAGGAGAGAGACAGCUCCUGAAGGCUGUCCUCUGAGCCUCGUCUGUACACCAGGGCACUUGUACGAGCAUGCGUGCACACACUCACACACACACACACACACACAGAGAAAGAGAGAGAGAAGUGAGAGAGAGAGAGGGAGAGAGAGAGAGAGAGAGAGUCACAUGCAUAAAUGUAAUACAGUUUUUAAAAAAUGAAGCCCCAAAGCCUGGUGGCACAUUCCUAUAAUUCCAUCACUCAGGAGUCAAAGGGAGAAGAAUUGUGAGUUCAAAGGCAGCUUGGAUGAUAAAAUAAGACCCUGUUUUGAAGAAACAAAACCCAAACAAGAAGAGCAGAAGACCCAGGGGAAACUGCUUUUCUGCGUAGGUAGAAGAAUGGACACAAGGAAUCUGUUUGAUGGCAAGGAUCUGCGAAGAGCUUGGCAAGGCCUGUUUGUUCAGAUUCUUUGCAUUUCUGGAUCUUGACUCUUUUUCUCUGAGCACAGGACUAGACGCCAAUCACAGGAGGGUCUUUAGAGGAGGAGGGAGAGAGAGGACGGUCAGAGUGGCGUCCUGCUUAUGCCCAGGGACCGUGUGAUGUCGCUAUCACGUUCUAUGCCUUGUACGUUCCUCCCUUGCUUGACUGUCUUUUGGUACACUCACUGCUGACUGGAUAGAACUCAGGAGAGUUCCAGAUUAGUUGGUCUCAAAUAGAGAUUGCCUUCCUGUGAGUGAAGACCCCAAAACCUGGAGUGUACGUUGACUUUGAUCAAGGUAGCCAUUUUUGUUGCCACUUUUGAGUUAAGUUAUGGAGGAAGCGCCUUAAGUUCAGGCUGUCCUUGAACUUCUGAUCCUCCUGCCUCUGAUUUCAGAAUGCUAGGAUUCCAGGCAUGUGCUAUCACACUUCAAAUAUAGUAAAACUUUGUAGUUUUUUUGUUUCAAAUAAACCUCCAAGGGAAGAAAUUAAGAACCAAUUUGGAGUCACGUGUGGCUGUAUACACUAAUCCCAGGUGGAUCUCUGAGCCUGGUCUACAGAGUGAGUUCCAGGACAGCCAGGGCUACACAGUGAAACCCUAUCUGUAAAAACCAUAAACAAACAAACAAACAAAAAAACACCAUGAACAAGGCCAGCCUAAGCUAUAUUAGACUGUCUCA